GAUGAACGCUGGCGGCGUGCUUAACACAUGCAAGUCGAACGGAAAGGCCAGUGCUUGCACUGGUACUCGAGUGGCGAACGGGUGAGUAACACGUGGGUGAUCUGCCCUGCACUUCGGGAUAAGCCUGGGAAACUGGGUCUAAUACCGGAUAGGACAAUGGUUUGGAUGCCGUUGUGGAAAGUUUUUUCGGUGUGGGAUGAGCUCGCGGCCUAUCAGCUUGUUGGUGGGGUAAUGGCCUACCAAGGCGUCGACGGGUAGCCGGCCUGAGAGGGUGCACGGCCACAUUGGGACUGAGAUACGGCCCAGACUCCUACGGGAGGCAGCAGUGGGGAAUAUUGCACAAUGGGCGCAAGCCUGAUGCAGCGACGCCGCGUGGGGGAUGACGGCCUUCGGGUUGUAAACUCCUUUCGCUAGGGACGAAGCGUAUUUGUGACGGUACCUGGAGAAGAAGCACCGGCUAACUACGUG
rnacentral:rRNA from 1 species